CUGCGAGUGAAGAGGGAAGAGCUCAAAUUUGAAAUCUGGCGGUUCUCGAAGCCGUCCGAGUUGUAGUUUAGAGAAGUGCUAUCCGCGCUGGCCUGUGCAUAAGUUUCUUGGAAAAGAACAUCAUAGAGGGUGACAAUCCCGUCUUUGGCACAGAUUACCAGGGCUUUUGUGAUGCGCUCUCGACGAGUCGAGUUGUUUGGGAAUGCAGCUCUAAAUGGGUGGUAAAUUCCAUCUAAAGCUAAAUAUUGGCGAGAGACCGAUAGCGAACAAGUACCGUGAGGGAAAGAUGAAAAGAACUUUGAAAAGAGAGUUAAACAGUACGUGAAAUUGUUGAAAGGGAAACGCUUGAAGUCAGUCGCGUCCUCUAGUGAUCAAGUCAGCUCUGGCUGGCCGUACUUCUAGUUGGAUGGGUCAGCAUCAAUUUUGACCGCUGGAUAAAGGCCUUGGGAAUGUGGCAUCUCCGGAUGUGUUAUAGACCAUGGUUCUGAUACAGCGAUUGGGAUUGAGGAACUCGGCGCAAGGAUGCUGGCAUAAUGGCUUUAAUCGACCCGUCUUGAAACACGGACCAAGGAGUCUAACAUGCCUGCGAGUAUUUGGGUGGAAAACCCAUGUGCGCAAUGAAAGUGAAAGUUGAGAUCUCUGUCAUGGAGAGCAUCGACGCCCGGACCUGACCUUCUGUGACGGAUCUGCGGUAGAGCAUGUAUGUUGGGACCCGAAAGAUGGUGAACUAUGCCUGAAUAGGGUGAAGCCAGAGGAAACUCUGGUGGAAGCUCGUAGCGAU
rnacentral:rRNA from 1 species